rnacentral:rRNA from 1 species
GACGGAGGGUGCGAGCGUUGUCCGGAAUCAUUGGGCGUAAAGGGCGCGUAGGUGGCUUCUUAAGCGUGCGGUGAAAGCCUGGGGCUCAACCCCGGGUCGGCCGUGCGAACUGGGGGGCUGGAGCACUGUAGAGGCAGGCGGAAUUCCGGGUGUAGCGGUGGAAUGCGUAGAGAUCCGGAAGAACACCGGUGGCGAAGGCGGCCUGCUGGGCAGUUGCUGACACUGAGGCGCGACAGCGUGGGGAGCAAACAGG